rnacentral:rRNA from 1 species
GAUGAACGCUGGCGGCGUGCCUAAUACAUGCAAGUCGAGCGAACAGACGAGGAGCUUGCUCCUCUGACGUUAGCGGCGGACGGGUGAGUAACACGUGGAUAACCUACCUAUAAGACUGGGAUAACUUCGGGAAACCGGAGCUAAUACCGGAUAAUAUAUUGAACCGCAUGGUUCAAUAGUGAAAGACGGUUUUGCGGUCACUUAUAGAUGGAUCCGCGCCGCAUUAGCUAGUUGGUAAGGUAACGGCUUACCAAGGCAACGAUGCGUAGCCGACCUGAGAGGGUGAUCGGCCACACUGGAACUGAGACACGGUCCAGACUCCUACGGGAGGCAGCAGUAGGGAAUCUUCCGCAAAGGGCGAAAGCCUGACGGAGCAACGCCGCGUGAGUGAUGAAGGUCUUCGGAUCGUAAAACUCUGUUAUUAGGGAAGAACAAAUGUGUAAGUAACUAUGCACGUCUUGACGGUACCUAAUCAGAAAGCCACGGCUAACUACGUG